rnacentral:pre_miRNA from 1 species
AAAUUACUCCCUCUGUCCCAAAAUUCCUGUCUUAGAUUUUUCUAGAUACGGAUGUAUCAAGUCACAUUUUAGUAUUAGAUACAUCCGUAUCUAGACAAAUCUAAGACAAGAAAUUUGGGACAGAGGGAGUAGUUG